CGGACGGGUGAGUAACGCGUGGAUAACCUGCCUCACACUGGGGGAUAACAGUUAGAAAUGGCUGCUAAUACCGCAUAAGCGCACAGUACCGCAUGGUACGGUGUGAAAAAACCCAGGUGGUGUGAGAUGGAUCCGCGUCUGAUUAGCCAGUUGGCGGGGUAACGGCCCACCAAAGCGACGAUCAGUAGCCGACCUGAGAGGGUGACCGGCCACAUUGGGACUGAGACACGGCCCAA
rnacentral:rRNA from 1 species